CGUGUACUCGAAAGUUUUUCCUCUUUAUAUCAUAUAAUUAUUAUAGUUUUAUAUAAAUAACAUUUGCUUAGUGUUUGGUUUUUUUUGUUUUUGUUUUUAAUUGUUUUUGGUCCUUUGGAAUGUGUGUAUGUUUCGCUAGAGAUUUGUUGUUCUAUUUAGUCUAAUUUGCAAGUUAACUAUAUAUAUCCGAUCUGUUCUAGUCUUAUAUAAGCCAUAGCAUAUCGAAAUAGCAGCUGCAUUGCGAAUUCUAUUAACAAAUCAUUUGGUUUAUCUACAGUUCCGGAUCGCUUUCUAUAUACUAUAUAUAAUAUAUAGUAAAUAUUUGUAAACGAUUCUCUGUGAAAAACAAGGCCAUUUAAGAGUCUUCCAGACAUGAAUACAUCAAUAUAUAUUAUUUAAAUAUAUACGCUGCAUUUUGGUGGCCUUCAUUGAACAAAGGCAGUUGGCGAAAAUCUUAACUUAAAUCGAAGGCAACUAUUUCAAAACGAUGAUAAACUAAGUAAGAAUGCGAGAGUCAAGGCAAGCCGACUGCUAGAUGCUCUGCUUGGCUGCAGUGUGUGUGUGUGUGUGUCAAUAUUUGACUGAGGCCUGGUCUAAAAAUAUUCGCAUUACAUUUUGUAUAUUUAAGAAACAUCGAAAGCUUAUGGAAAAUAUAAAGCUUAAGCUAGAAGAAGCACAAAUAAAUGACAGCGCAUCAAGCUCGCUCUGAACCUAACCGAAUAGGGUAUACAGCUGGGAAACGGGGCGUAUUGCUGCUUAGCUGUUUUUUUUCGGUCUUUUUAAAACCACAUGGCCAUCAACUUGAAAUAAAAAAAGAAAAAAAAGGGCUGUACCUGGUCAUAAUUACACACAAUUUGUGUGUCAACACGCAAGGAACAGACCCCCCCCCCCACA